rnacentral:rRNA from 1 species
ACGGGAGGCAGCAGUGGGGAAUGUUGCACAAUGGGGGAAACCCUGAUGCAGCGACGCCGCGUGAGUGAAGAAGUAUUUCGGUAUGUAAAGCUCUAUCAGCAGGGAAGAAAAUGACGGUACCUGACUAAGAAGCCCCGGCUAACUACGUGCCAGCAGCCGCGGUACUACGUAGGGGGCAAGCGUUAUCCGGAUUUACUGGGUGUAAAGGGAGCGUAGACGGUUCUGCAAGUCUGAUGUGAAAGGCAGGGGCUCAACUCCUGGACUGCAUUGGAAACUGUUUUACUAGAGUGCAGGAGAGGUAAGUGGAAUUCCUAGUGUAGCGGUGAAAUGCGUAGAUAUUAGGAGGAACACCAGUGGCGAAGGCGGCUUACUGGACUGUAACUGACGUUGAGGCUCGAAAGCGUGGGGAGCAAACAGGAUUAGAUACCCUGGUA